rnacentral:rRNA from 1 species
GUGAGGAAUAUUGGUCAAUGGGCGCAAGCCUGAACCAGCCAUCCCGCGUGCAGGAAGACGGCCCUAUGGGUUGUAAACUGCUUUUCCGGGGGGAGAAUUUUUCCGUCGUGACGGGAAUUGACGGUACCCCGGGAAUAAGCAUCGGCUAACUCCGUGCCAGCAGCCGCGGUAAUACGGAGGAUGCGAGCGUUAUCCGGAUUUAUUGGGUUUAAAGGGUGCGUAGGCGGAAUGAUAAGUCAGUGGUGAAAACCUGCAGCUUAACUGUAGACUUGCCGUUGAUACUGUCAGUCUUGAGUGUGGGCAAGGUAGGCGGAAUGUGUAAUGUAGCGGUGAAAUGCUUAGAUAUUACACAGAACACCGAUUGCGAAGGCAGCUUACUGGGCCAUUACUGACGCUGAUGCACGAAAGCGUGGGGAUCGAACAGGAUUAGAUACCCGGGUAGUCC